rnacentral:misc_RNA from 1 species
GAAACGGUAAAGCAGACAUUUUAGAAGCUAAAAAAGUUUACAAAUUUGCUUUACUCUUAUAAAAGUAAAAUUUAUAAGAAUAAUUUUAUAGAAUACAGAAAAGUGAAUAAAUCGCGUAUUGGAAAAUUAAAAAGAUAUCUCCAUACGAAGAGAGCAAAUUUGCUUGCUUUUAAAGGGAGUUUGUUAUUGCGCUUUGGUCUGCGGGCAUACUUUUAUUACCUACCAAAUUGUGAAAUUUUUCCAAUUGGCAAAGGCUUUGCGAUUAUUGUUAAAUGAGAACUAUAUAAACCUCAUAUAGGUCUUCUGUAUACAAAUAAGUGUAACGCAAAAUUAUUUAUUGUGGAAUUGCGCGUGAGUUAUAAAGUAAAUAUACAUAAAUACAAUAGUUGCUGAAAAAUACUUGUACACGGAGAGGAGAUGCCCUUUUAUGGACUCUAUGUGCCCGGAAAGGAAGCCGAUGCCCCGUAUGUAUUUAACCUCAAGUGUAAGGCACUGGAUGUGCUAAAGCUGCAUAAAGAGGCCAGAUUACGUGAAUUCAAUAAUGAGAGUGAUGCGAUUAAAUUCGCGCAGACGGGUCAUGAGGUGGUUGCGCCGCCGCGUCAUCCCGAUAGCAAAUCAUCAAUAGUUGCGGAAAAGGCGGCAUUUCGGGGACCCACAAAGCAAGAAUUAAUUGAAUUCCGUAAAGUAAUAGAGUCCGGUGAUUGCGAGCGUGUGAAUGCGAUGAUUUGGGAUAAUCCACGUUAUUUGGUUAGUGCAGGUGAUACACCUACAACACUAAAAGAGGGUUAUCGCUAUAAUGCGAUGCAUAUUUGCGCAAUUUCGAAAAAACCACGUAUUGCUGAAUUAAUUUUAAAGACCGUAAGCGAUCCGAAAUUCGUAGAUUUGCUUACAGGAAAAAAGAAUGAUAUAAAAAUGUGUAAAGAACUAUGCGUAAAUCUAUUGGAUUAUUACUUAAAUAUACCAGAAAAAGGUCGUAGCGAAACGCCUUUACAUUUGGCAACCAAAACGGGGGCUAUUGAAAUGGUGGAGGUGUUAACCUCAUUCCCUGAAUGUAAAAUAACACCAAAUUCCGAAGGUUUAUAUCCAAAAGAUAUAAUUUGUUCACGCGUAACCAGCGCUACGCCAGAGUUAAGGAAAAAAAUUGAAAUGCUGUUGGAAGAACGUUUUUAUGUGCCCGUUUUACGUUCAGUGGAUAAUGCAGUACCGCCAAAAAUUGGACAACCAUUUUCUACCAGCAAUCCACCGAAUCUCAACUCUGAUCCACUGAGCGCUGAAGUCAAAAUCGAAGCAUUAGCCGGCCCAAUGAAUAAGGAGCAUGCAACGCAAUUCUGUCGCCGCUGGAAAACACCACCACGUCUUGGCAGUACUAUGUCUUCACCGGUUGCCUACAACAAGUUCAUUUCCCCUGUUAAAACACGUUGCACCAAUGGCACACCAUCUAAAAAUUCAAUCAGUACAUUAAGUAAUGGUAGUCCAACUGUUGGCACGCCAAUUACAAAAAUCAAUCGACGAACUUUAUUUAAUUCCACCCCACGACGUUCAAGUUGUGAAAUAAUAGAUGAAAAUGAUAUUAUCACAAACGCAUCUUGCGAUAAACAGAAUGGCAAUCAUAAAAUUGAUCAAGCCACUAUUGAAACGAACAAUUCUACCUCCGGUUCGGCAACCGCAACCAAAACCGAACACGAGAACAACAAUAACGAUCGCGAAAUGGAAAUAAAUGUUUUAAAAGACUUAACAGCGCAAAGUACACCAGUCUUACAAACGAAACGUGAAUUAUUUUUCACAUACCGUGAACCCAACCCAAAUACUCCGGUAGAACGCAAUGCAAUCGAUGCUCGUGAGGCACCUACCACGCUGAACGAAGAUCUAGACAUCAGCGCAAUUGAAAUGAAUAAUGAACCGCAACCGAUGGAACAACAUGCAUUUAAAUUGAAAAGUAGCAUGCUAAAGACGGCAUUGUGUCGAAAGAUGCCAUUGUUUAAGGAUAAUUUUAACACAUACCGCGAUAACAGCACAGCUUCAUCGCCUGAUUCCGACUGUUGUAAUGAUUCUCGUAAUUCGGUGCUGAAUGACCUUAACCAUUACGACAGUCCGGGUUUUAAAGAGCGUCACAUUAAAAUCAGCGAUACUGAAAAGGGGCUGGAAUUAAUUGGUCGUGAAUUAGCUAAAGAACAGAAUGUGGAAUGGCGUGAAUACUGGGAUUUUUUAAAUUCUUUCAUUAAUAUUUCUUCGGAAGAAGGUUUGAACAAACUGGAAAAUUUCUUUGCGCAACGUGUUAAGGAAGAAGAAAUGACAAAGAAAACGGCACAAGCUAUGGCUAAGUCGGCGGUAAUUUUAGAUAACGUUUGUAAUGCACUGGAGAAACUUCAUUUUCCGGAAAAUUCUAAUAUGCAUGAUUUUCGUAAUGGUUUCAAUAAUGAGCGUGCACGCUAUGCGAAUAUGAGUGGUGGCACUGGUGAAAAUUCCACAACAGCACCACAAUCUACAACGCCUUAUACAUGCGUUGAGAAAUCGGUCCAAGUAUUUGCCAAACGUAUGACUAAAACCAUUAUACAUAAUAUUGAUAAUAUGGUGUCUAUUAAUGACACUCUGUUGUCUGAGUUGAAAAGACUGAAAUCGUUAAUAUGUAGUUUUAAGGAAGAUACGCGUUUCCUAAAUGUAAAUUUUGCAAAAGUACAUUCAAGAAUUGGCAAAUUAAUUUCAAUUUAUUUGGCAAACUCACAAGAAGUAACGCCAGCAAUGAAAAUAAAGCUACAAGGUAUUAUCAAACACAUGCUUACACCCGGGGAACGACGUGAGCAUAUGGAAUGCGUUUGUUGGCGAAUACUUAAUAUGUUAGAGACUCCAACCGAUCAAAUACUGCCUGAACAACUUAAAACCGAAGAAAUGUGUUCAAAUGAGUGGGGGAAAGAGCGCGAAUGUGACUGUCAAUGGGAAACUAAUCUGAGUCGCAAAACAAGUCGACGAAACCGCAUGGAGGCGCGUUAUCGUAGUCAUCAGCAAGCUAGAUAUCAACAACAACAAAACCAAAAGCAACAGGAACUACAAAAGACGAAUGAUAUUAAUGCUGAUGGUCGUGGUGGUGGUGGUGGUGGUGGUAGUGAAUGGCGCGAUCCUUUGCCGUGCAACGAUGGUGAUAACGCUAUGAAAUCUAAAGAACAAUGGCGCGAUCCUGUCGAUUGUAAUGAAGACGUUGAGAGCUGGCGUGACGUUAACACACAAGAUGAUUCAUCAGACAAUGAUGUAUUUUGGUCCGAUUUUGGUGAUACUGACUCGGACAAUGAAGAUGAGGUUUGGGCUACACCACCCGAAAGCCCCUCACAGUUGAGUCUGAUGGAAGAACCUGCAGAAGAGGAGGCAUUUAAAAUAUUCAUAUAUGGUAAUGAACCAACAAAACGGGAUGUUGACGUAUUGAACGCAUUACUGCAUAUGGAUGUCGAUCCAACAAAAUAUGCCAAUAUACAUUCUUGGAAGGCGGCGAUGCUACGCUAUCCUAAAGAGGAAAUGGAUGCUCUAUGAAAAGUGUGUCUGUGUGCGUGAGCUGAGAAAAAGCAUAAUAAUUUGUCAAGUUAUUGUUGUUAUGCGUUUGAAAAGCAAUUGGAUGCAAGUUUUAGAUUUGGUGUUUUGAUUGUUUUUAUGAUGUGGUAUGUAAAUUUUUCCAUCUCUGUCAAUUGUAAAGAAAUCGCAUUCGUUCACUUCCACGCGUACACCGCAACGUAAAGAAUUUCCACUUACACCGUUCGCAC